GUUGGGAAAUGAUGUGAAAUUACCAAUAUAUCAAAGGCACUAGCUAUGCUGAAUGUCUUUGUUUGCACGUCAGUCUGAUCCCUUA
rnacentral:snoRNA from 1 species